GGGGGGAGCUAUCAUGCAGUCGAGCGGACGGAAGGGAGCUUGCUCCCGGAUGUUAGCGGCGGACGGGUGAGUAACACGUGGGUAACCUGCCUGUAAGACUGGGAUAACUCCGGGAAACCGGAGCUAAUACCGGAUAGUUCCUUGAACCGCAUGGGUCAAGGAUGAAAGACGGUUUCGGCUGUCACUUACAGAUGGACCCGCGGCGCAUUAUCUAGUUGGUGAGGUAACGGCUCACCAAGGCGACGAUGCGUAGCCGACCUGAGAGGGUGAUCGGCCACACUGGGACUGAGACACGGCCCACACUCCUACGGGAGGCAGCAGUAGGGAAUCUUCCGCAAUGGACGAAAGUCUGACGGAGCAACGCCGCGUGAGUGAUGAAGGUUUUCGGAUCGUAAAGCUCUGUUGUUAGGGAAGAACAAGUGCAAGAGUAACUGCUUGCACCAUGACGGUACCUAACCAGAAAGCCACGGCUAACUACGUGCCAGCAGCCGCGGUAAUACGUAGGUGGCAAGCGUUGUCCGGAAUUAUUGGGCGUAAAGGGCUCGCAGGCGGUUUCUUAAGUCUGAUGUGAAAGCCCCCGGCUCAACCGGGGAGGGUCAUUGGAAACUGGGAAACUUGAGUGCAGAAGAGGAGAGUGGAAUUCCACGUGUAGCGGUGAAAUGCGUAGAGAUGUGGAGGAACACCAGUGGCGAAGGCGACUCUCUGGUCUGUAACUGACGCUGAGGAGCGAAAGCGUGGGGGAGCGAACAGGAUUAUAUACCCUGGUAGUCCACGCCGUAAACGAUGAGUGCUAAGUGUUAGGGGGGUUUCCGCCCCCUUAUUGCUGCAGCUAACGCAUUUAUGCACUCCCGCCCUGGGGGAGUACGGUCGCAAGACUGAUACUCACAAGGAAUUUGACGGGGGGCCCGCACAAGCAGGUGGAGCAUGUGGGUUUAUUUCUUAGCAACGCCCAGAACCAUUACUACGUCUUGACAUCCUCUGACAACCCCUAGAGAUAGGGCUUUCCCCUCCUUGGACAGAGUGACAGCUGUGCAUGAUGGUCGGUCAGCUCGUGUCGUGAGUGUUGGUAAGUACCCGCCCACCGAGCGCCACCCCUGGAUCCUAGUGGCCAGCCAUUCCAUUGGCACUCUAAGUGACGUCCGGUGCACACACCCAGUAAGAUUGAGUAAACU
rnacentral:rRNA from 1 species